rnacentral:tRNA from 1 species
CGCGGGGUGGAGCAGCUCGGUAGCUCGCUAGGCUCAUAACCUAGAGGUCGCAGGUUCAAAUCCUGUCCCGCUACCA